GGGUUGUGAGGUUAAGCGACUAAGCGUACACGGUGGAUGCCCUGGCAGUCAGAGGCGAUGAAGGGCGUGCUAAUCUGCGAUAAGCGCCGGUAAGGUGAUAUGAACCGUUAUAACCGGCGAUACCCGAAUGGGGAAACCCAGUGUGAUUCGUCACACUAUCAUUAACUGAAUCCAUAGGUUAAUGAGGCGAACCGGGGGAACUGAAACAUCUAAGUACCCCGAGGAAAAGAAAUCAACCGAGAUUCCCCCAGUAGCGGCGAGCGAACGGGGAGGAGCCCAGAGCCUGAAUCAGCAUGUGUGUUAGUGGAAGCGUCUGGAAAGGCGCGCGAUACAGGGUGACAGCCCCGUACACAAAAGCGCAUGUGCUGUGAGCUCGAUGAGUAGGGCGGGACACGUGGUAUCCUGUCUGAAUAUGGGGGGACCAUCCUCCAAGGCUAAAUACUCCUGACUGACCGAUAGUGAACCAGUACCGUGAGGGAAAGGCGAAAAGAACCCCGGCGAGGGGAGUGAAAAAGAACCUGAAACCGUGUACGUACAAGCAGUGGGAGCCCCACCACUAAGCCAGUGGUGAACUCCACAUACGCAUCCUUUGCUGAGGAUACGGUUAACGGAGCGAAAGCGACGUUCAACCGCAAAAGAAGCAGAGGGGGCUUAGUGGUGGGGUGACUGCGUACCUUUUGUAUAAUGGGUCAGCGACUUAUAUUCUGUAGCAAGGUUAACCGUAUAGGGGAGCCGCAGGGAAACCGAGUCUUAAUUGGGCGUUAAGUUGCAGGGUAUAGACCCGAAACCCGGUGAUCUAGCCAUGGGCAGGUUGAAGGUUGGGUAACACUAACUGGAGGACCGAACCGACUAAUGUUGAAAAAUUAGCGGAUGACCUGUGGCUGGGGGUGAAAGGCCAAUCAAACCGGGAGAUAGCUGGUUCUCCCCGAAAGCUAUUUAG
rnacentral:rRNA from 1 species